UCUACAAUGAAAACAUAUUCCAGUUACUCUGUUGUUCGCUACGAAGGUAUGUCUCUUCAAGGAAAGUGUUUCUUGAAUCUAAAGAAAAAUUAGGGCAAUGUUGCUUAAGAAAGUAUGCAAAUAGCGGGUUUUGGAAAAGCUAAGGUGGAAAGCUUUGGGAAUUUUUUUUUUGAAUGUGUGAUAAUGAUUAAUCGGGCUGCAGAUCAAAUCAAAUCAAAUGACCGGGAAUGGUGAGUUUGAAUAUCAAAAGCCUUACAAAAAAUAUGUUUCACAGCAAUUGCGUAACAGACUUGCGAAUGAUCCCGAAAUUAAAUGCUGAAUGCAGGAUUUCUUUUACUCCUGGCCAUGAAAGUUUGAUAUGAUACCCUGCAGACAGCUCGUGAUUAAGAAAGGCCGUGAAACAAACAAUAUCUUAAGCAUGGCAACAGCUAAUUGUUAAAUGUUAUUAAACGGAUGUUAUUAAAUGUUAUUGUUAAAUGAAUUGUGUAUCUGCCGUUCACGAGCAAAAAAAAGCAGAAACUUUUCUAGGAGUUUUGAAACAAAAUUAGAGUCAACUAUUUUGAUAAAUCCAGAACAAAACUGAACGAAGCAAAAACAAACAAAAAACAACCAUUAGGACUUUAUCGCCAACACGCAAGCGCCCAUCGGCUGCAGCUGGCCCAUUCUCUGCAAUUUUGCUUAUGAAAAUACCCUGAAAUUGCAUGAAAAGAAAACAGCGGUGAAGGGCAAGCAACAAUUAAGAAACGAAGAGGUACUGCGACAAAAAAAUGAUAAGGGAAUGCAACGGGAAAUGCGCAUCAGAAGUGCAUUAUCUAUUUAAGAGACAACAGAAAUCGUUGGCGAUUGAUGCCUUAUCAUAAUGUGAAACAUUCAGCAAAUAAAAAUCCAGAAAAGCUUGUUUUGUGAAAAAACGUUUUCUAAAUCUUCACUUGGUUCAUAGCUUGGAUUAUCAUUCGCUUGCAAAGGUUCAUCAUGUCAAGAAAUUCAUAAUCGUAAAUAUGACAUAUAAUGUAUCAAUAUUGUUUAUUCAAACACUAGAGAACAGUGAUAUAUCACUCUUUCAAUCACCCUAAAAAAACAAACUUAAUAUUGAAAAUCAUGACAAGAUCCAAGAUAAGACAAUCAACUUGAUGCCUUGAUGCCUUAACAAUACGUCUACAGGACGGCUUAUGUGGGAUUCACAAGAUCAAAUUCGGCAAGCAGCAAAAUUGUCUAUCUUUAAGGCAAUAUAUCUCGUUUAGCAUCAAUGCAGUUUAACAAGAUUCAGCUAUAGCAUCAUAAAUACUUACGUAUCAAUACCUUUAAGUAAUCGAUAUACCUGUGUGCUAAAAGUCUUACUUAGUCAUGAUUACGAUUUCAAACAAAAGGGCAGAGAGGUGAUGCUUUGCAUGCAUGCUUCAUCAAUCUAUAUUGUUUUCAUAUCGAUGCUAGUUGCAAUCAUAGUUAACAAGAAAAGGUGUUUUGCAGAUGGAUAGAUGAAGAACAGUUAAACAUAGAUGAAAGACGUAAGCGGUGACCAAAUCCUGAAUAAUUUAAAGGACCGCAAGCGUGACUAUCCUGCACUGGUGCUUAAGAAGAUCCAGCCAUCUUUGUGAUGAAAUACGCUCGAAAAGUAGCACGAGGAGAAAGCAGCCUUCAAAUUGAAUAUGAUUUCCAUAAAAAGCAGCCUUUAAAUUGAAUAUGAUUUCCAUAAAAAGCAGCCUUCAAAUUGAAUAUUAUUUUCAUAAAAAGGUGUUCUCUCUUCACCAUCCACAGUCAAAUCCGUUUACAAAUUCCAGACUUACCCUUAAUCAAUUUAAACAAUUAAGCUUCUGUCUAGCUUCGACAUGUGAGAUCUUUAUCUUAUAAUUACAGACAUUGUCAAUUUGGUUGAAAUCUGCUCAAUUUUCUAUGUGCUUUAUUUAUCACUUAGAAAAGCAUCCAAAACUUUUUGAGCUUUAAAUGAUUUUGAAAUUUCAUGAACUUUUUGUCAAACCAUCCCAAACUUCAAAUUUUCAUGGCUAACGCUUAACUAUCUACUAAAACCCUUAAAAAAGGUGCUUUGAAAAUAAUUAAAAGUUAUAUAUCUCGAAGAAAUUUAAUAAAACACGUACUGGGUCACUCCCUUUAAAUGGAGUUGAACCAAAUCCUCCAGCUAUGCUGAAACCGAGGCCACGCCCGUCUCGUUUCAGGUCCACAGUCAGUGUCUGAAACGAAACCCAAUUCAACGAUUAGCAAUAAUUACUUCAGAAAGCCAAUGCUUUGCAAACAACCUUUAACAUUUAAAAGCGAGACAAAUAAAUUAAACAUACAAGUUGCGAUCAAUGGAUCUAGUUUGACUAGGUGAUCACGGGAACUAUCAAAUCUUUAUAAGUGCCAUGAGAAAGUUCCCUGUGAUACGAAAGCCCAUGUAAUUAAGGGGCUAAACGUUGUUGGAACAUUACAAUUAAUCGCAUGUAAGCCCAACAAAAUCUCUAGUAUAUUUGUAGCCAUACUGAGCAGCUCUAUUCAACAUUAACUUGCAGGGCAUUUUCCGUAGGUUUUUAUACACCUGUUCAUUCCAAACACGUUGUGAAACAGCCUGUUCAUUAAACCAACUUUUCUCGAAAAAUCAACAACAUAAUUGCCAGUUAUAUAUCUCUGAAUCUUUCAAAAGUAAACCUUGUCUUGAAAAGUGAGAUCUGCAUCUGGGAGGGAUGUUUGCUUGUUUAUAUGGAGUGAUUUAGGUUUCAUAAGGAGGGCUCGGAGGGUGAAAAGAAAGACUGUGAUGUUCACAAAGAUGGCUGUAAGGUUGGCUGUGAGGGAACGAGGUUCACCAGAACCGCUAGAAUGCUCAGAGGAAAGGCUGCGAUGAUUAGAAAAAUGGAUAGAACAUUGGCAAUAAUCUUAGGGUAUAAUGUUCAUUAUAGGGUACAAGGUAUAAGGUAUAAAAGGUGGGAGGUCCACAAAGAGAGCAACGAUGUUCGCUUUGCCAUAUCGAUGUUUGCUUUGCCAUAUCGAUGUUUGCUUUGCCAUGUCGAUGUUUGCUUUGCCAUGUCGAUGUUCGCUUUGCCAUGUCGAUGUUCGCUUGUCAUAUCUAACCUGACACAACAGCUGUUAAAAGGGCCGGAUCAUCUCGUCCAACCGCCACGUGGGAUUAGCCGAUCAGCUCUCAAAUAAAUCCGUUAAAAUACGAUUACUCUUAAAAUAAACACAUCAAAACUGAUUUAAUUUGAUCAAGAACUCACUUCUGUAGCUACUUCAAUCUCUUCCAUUUCCGGUUCAGGUGCAAAGCGCACGUUUUUCUCUUCCCUUUGUGCCUAAAAACAUAAACUACUUUUAGAAGCCUUAGAUUUGCCACCAUAAACAAGAGUAUUUGUCGGCCUUGUAAAAAACUAUGACAUCAUUCAAGGGCAAGCAUUCAAGGUUUAAUUUUACCCAAACAAACGUCUUCACUUGUACAUCAGUAGGGCAAUGGCUUUAUCUUUUAAGCCUUCGUGUGACACAAAAGGACACUGGAGUUUUACCUGCCUCAAAAAUUUAAGUAGUCUUUAUUCACCUGAAGCGCAGUUUGAAUUGCAUCUUCAUCUGUGAUUUCCCUUAAAACUAUAAGAGUCACCUCUUUGCCUGCAUUUUUUAGUGUCAUCACCGCCUCGUAAUGACUCAUUUCUGAAACAUCGACCUCGUUCACCUGCAAAUGGGAAAAACAACCUUGGUUGUUCCAUAACAAAUCAAUGAUUUUUAACUACACUCCAAUUUCAAGACAGUCUAUUCAUGACUUUCUUAUUCAUAAAAAGUUUAGUACCUCAAAAGAUUCACCAAAAUUGUAAAUCUAAUUGGAAUUUAAAUACUCCACAAAAAAAACCAAACCUUGACAAUUUUGUCACCAAUUUGAAGGAUUCCUUCCUGGUCAGCCGGCCCACCCUCUGAUAUCUUCGAUAUAAAUAUACCCUGAAAAUGAAAUUAGAAAUUAACACUUUAUAAUAUUAUAUUUCCAAUUUACCUAUUAUCGAAACUGUAGUUAUUACUAGCAAUAAAUGACCCUUUCAACUGUAAUCUUUCAACUGUAACUCAGAAACUUCUUCUCCCAAAGUACAGUGAUGCAAAUUACAAGGCAUUGACUAUACAAUUUUUAAAUAUGUUUGUCAAAAUAAUUGUAUCUUCAAACUGCUCUCGACUAUUAUCCAUUCGGAUCUUCUCCUUCUGUACUAAUUGUUCACGUUGGUUGGCAAAUGGGCUUGACUGAAACAGGUUCGUAAAUAUUAAGUGUUAUGAUAUUGUGUGUCAUAUUGUUUUCAAUUCUGUGCAUGAAAAUAAGAUUUCAUUCGUGAAUCACGAAUUUCGAGGCCUGAAUCCAUAUUUUGGGGAUUAAAACAAGCCAUUUUCAGUAUAGUAUCAGUCACAAUACUCGCUUCGCAGGCGGGACGUAAUUGUGCAAAUGAGCGCAAGGACUGAACAAUUCCAGUCUCCUCUUUAUCCACAUUGCUUAUCCUGCUGUCCAUAAUACGUCCUCCUGCGAAAUCCAUUUUUGGCAUCUAAGACCUAUUAGGAUUAUCUUAUAUUACACAACUUAGGGUUGGUCUCAGCAAACUGAA